rnacentral:rRNA from 1 species
UACGGAGGGUGCGAGCGUUAAUCGGAUUUACUGGGCGUAAAGGGUACGUAGGCGGCUUUUUAAGUCGGGUGUGAAAGCCCCGGGCUCAACCUGGGAACUGCACUCGAAACUGGAUGGCUAGAGUUUUAGAGAGGAAGGGGGAAUUCCACGUGUAGCGGUGAAAUGCGUAGAUAUGUGGAGGAACACCAAUGGCGAAGGCA